rnacentral:rRNA from 1 species
GUGGGGAAUAUUGGGCAAUGGGCGCAAGCCUGACCCAGCAACGCCGCGUGAAGGAAGAAGGCUUUCGGGUUGUAAACUUCUUUUACCAGGGACGAAACAAAUGACGGUACCUGGUGAAUAAGCCACGGCUAACUACGUGCCAGUAGCCGCGGUAAUACGUAGGUGGCGAGCGUUAUCCGGAUUUAUUGGGUGUAAAGGGCGUGUAGGCGGGACAGCAAGUCAGAUGUGAAAACCAGAGGCUCAACCUCUGGCCUGCAUUUGAAACUGUUGUUCUUGAGUGUCGGAGAGGUAAUCGGAAUUCCGUGUGUAGCGGUGAAAUGCGUAGAUAUACGGAGGAACACCAGUGGCGAAGGCGGAUUACUGGACGAUAACUGACGCUGAGGCGCGAAAGCGUGGGGAGCAAACAGGAUUAGAAACCCGGGUAGUCC